CAUCCCUUUGUGGCAAAAUAAAAGAAAUGGACAAAUCGAUUGGAUACAAAGUACUGUGCAAAAGACGUAGGCAGUCAAAGAAAUGAUGUUUAAAUGAUCUUUUUUGGUGACGUAAAAUCAGCAACCAUCCAACACACCCAAGUAUUGUUUGACUCGACCACCCACCCCACUUCGUUUGGCUAAUCAAGUUAUUUAAUUAAUUUGUUUCAUUAAUAAUUGAGCUGGUGGUGAAAUUUACCAAAUGCAUAGGAUGGCCGAGGUUCCCCUGAGGAGAGGUUUGGGAACUGAAAGGGCGGUGAUCCAGUCAUCCAGUAAGACAUUGGCCCUUUCCAUUUCCAUCAAUUAACAGGACACAAGGCUUACAGGUGAAGGUGUCGGUGUCACAGUCAGGGUGAAGCUCCCAUAAGAUUGUACAUCAUCACCGUAAUGUAGGCUCUUUAAAUCUUGGAACUGACAUGAUCGAGACGGUGGAGCGAUGAAAACCAUAACCACAGACCAGGAGCGACGGGGAAGCACAGCGGACAGGAGAACAAGAGCGGACGGACCGGUCGCCCUACGCGGGCGGUCUGGAGGGGCACGAUUACAAACGUUACUGAAAUACAGCCCUGGGGUAAUGUGCAGCGAAAACAUCCAUUUCAAGAUUUCAAAACAGGUGGAAAGCGAAUGAAAGUCUUGGAUGCUGGUUUUGAAUUUAUAAACCUUCUCUCGUUAGCUUAGAUAUUAUAAAUUUAGCCACAAAUCACACCACAUUUGGCAAAAAUGUUUAAUACCUAA